UAACUGCUUCCAAGGGUUUUCCGUGUACAUGGUCUUCACGUUCCAAGGGUCAAGCGUGAAAGUAGCUUCAACGUGGUCUGUUGCGUUCCUGGUGCCAAAAAUAUAGGGGAAUGGUGUGACGUCCGUCACACCAUGUGUGACGCUCGUCACACAAGUGUGUAAAGCGUGACGCUCGUCACAGCCUUUGUGACGCUCGUCACAGGCACAACGCCUGUGCUUUUUGGGCUGGGCUUUGGCCUUUGAUAUUUGCUUCUUUUCAUUCC
rnacentral:lncRNA from 1 species